rnacentral:lncRNA from 1 species
GGGGCGCCUGUGGGAGCCGUGGAGGGAACUUUCCCAGUCCCCGAGGCGGAUCCGGUGUUGCAUCCUUGGAGCGAGCUGAGAGCUCGAGAACCUGCUAAGGCCAUCAAACCUAUUGAUCGGAAGUCAGUCCAUCAGAUUUGCUCUGGGCCGGUGGUACCGAGUCUAAGCACUGCGGUGAAGGAGUUAGUAGAAAACAGUCUGGAUGCUGGUGCCACUAAUAUUGAUCUAAAGCUUAAGGACUAUGGAGUGGAUCUCAUUGAAGUUUCAGGCAAUGGAUGUGGGGUAGAAGAAGAAAACUUCGAAGGCUUAACUCUGAAACAUCACACAUCUAAGAUUCAAGAGUUUGCCGACCUACCUCAGUGAUGUCACCAUUUCUACCUGCCAUGUAUCGGCGAAGGUUGGGACUCGACUGGUGUUUGAUCACUAUGGGAAAAUCAUCCAGAAAACCCCCUACCCCCACCCCAGAGGGAUGACAGUCAGUGUGAAGCAGUUAUUUUCUACGCUACCUGUGCACCAUAAAGAAUUUCAAAGGAAUAUUAAGAAGAAACGUGCCUGCUUCCCCUUCGCCUUCUGCCGUGAUUGUCAGUUUCCUGAGGCCUCCCCAGCCAUGCUUCCUGUACAGCCUGCAGAACUCCUCCAAUUUACAGUCUAAAACAUGUACGCGGUGGCCCUGAGCUGUUGUGUAAAUGGACUCACUGCCCUGAGGCCACCAUGCUGCAAGGAAGCCCAAGCUAACCCUAGGAUGUGCCCUGAGACGACAUGAAGACGCAUCCCCAGCCAGCCUUCCACUACCCCAUCCUUCACUGCCCCAUUCUCACCCCCGCCCACCUCCUUACUCCCUCCACCCCUCCACCUGCCUCCAGCCAGAAUUGCACAGCCAACUACUUCCAGAAUCGCUGGUCCAAAGAAAUCACGACAGGCGCUAAGUUUGGGGCAAUCCAUUUAAUGCUACUAAGUUGUGGGAUGGUUUGUUUGAGCAGCCCCAGAUAACAAACAUUCCUUGAGGUCACACGCUAACCAAGCUGUGAUUCGAACACUGCCUCUCAAAUUCACGAGCAAAAGAGGGGGAAUUCUGUUUAAAAUGCCAAAAAGAACUCUUUCUUGCUUUUAUUAUUUUUAAUUUAUGUAUAAUAAUUGUAUGUUUAUAUAAUAAUUGUAAUAAUUUACGGGAUACAGGUGAUAUUUCAAUAUAUGUAUACAAUGUGUAAUGAUCACAUCAGGGUGAUUAGCGGAUUCAUUUCCUCAGUUAUCAUUUCUUUGUGUUGGGAACAUUCAAAAUCUGCUCUUCUACCUAUUUGAAUAUAGAAAAUAAAUUGUUUUGUUUUGUUUUUGA